UACGAAGGGGGCUAGCGUUGCUCGGAAUCACUGGACGUAAAGCGCACGUAGGCGGCGUCUUAAGUCAGGGGUGAAAUCCUGGAGCUCAACUCCAGAACUGCCUUUGAUACUGAGAUGCUUGAGUCCGGGAGAGGUGAGUGGAACUGCGAGUGUAGAGGUGAAAUUCGUAGAUAUUCGCAAGAACACCAGUGGCGAAGGCGGCUCACUGGCCCGGUACUGACGCUGAGGAGCGAAAGCGUGGGGAGCGAACAGG
rnacentral:rRNA from 1 species